rnacentral:rRNA from 1 species
ACGGAAGGCAGCAGUGGGGAAUAUUGCACAAUGGGGGAAACCCUGAUGCAGCGACGCCGCGUGAGUGAAGAAGUAUUUCGGUAUGUAAAGCUCUAUCAGCAAGGAAGAAAAUGACGGUACUUGACUAAGAAGCCCCGGCUAACUACGUGCCAGCAGCCGCGGUAAUACGUCGGGGGCAAGCGUUAUCCGGAUUUACUGGGUGUAAAGGGAGCGUAGACGGUAAUGCAAGUCAGAAGUGAAAGCCCAAGGCUCAACCAUGGGACUGCUUUUGAAACUGUAAUACUAGAGUGCAGGAGAGGUAAGUGGAAUUCCUAGUGUAGCGGUGAAAUGCGUAGAUAUUAGGAGGAACACCAGUGGCGAAGGCGGCUUACUGGACUGUAACUGACGUUGAGGCUCGAAAGCGUGGGGAGCAAACAGGAUUAGAUACCCUGGUA